rnacentral:rRNA from 1 species
CAUUAUCGUACACAGAGGCGCGAGGGCUGUCGCUGACCCUUCAAAGGUCGUGCACGCCCGAGCGCUCUCUCACAAUCCAUCUCACCCCUUUGUGCAUCACCGCGUGGGUCCUCCCCUCUCUUCGGGGAGGGCUUGCGUUUUCACAUAAAACUCGAUACAGUGUAGAGUGUUUAUUCUUGCGGUCACACGCAAUCAAUACAACUUUCAACAACGGAUCUCUUGGCUCUCGCAUCGAUGAAGAACGCAGCGAAAUGCGAUACGUAAUGUGAAUUGCAGAAUUCAGUGAAUCAUCGAAUCUUUGAACGCACCUUGCGCCCCUUGGCAUUCCGAGGGGCACACCCGUUUGAGUGUCGUGAAAUCCUCAAAACCUUUUUCUUUGACGAGAAAAGGAGUUUUGGACUUGGAGGUUCAAUGCCCGCUUUCGGCAUCGAAAGCGAGCUCCUCUCAAAUGAAUCAGUGGGGUCCGCUUUGCUGGUCCUUGACGUGAUAAGAUGUUUCUACGUUUUGGAUCUGGCACUGUCCCUUGGAUGCCCGCUUCUAACCGUCUCAUAGACAACGAUGGUGCCCCGGUCACCUCCGUCCACGUUGGCGGGGGAGGCUUGGCCCACGACAAAAAAACCUUGACCUCAAAUCGGGUGAGACUACCCGCUGAACUUAAGCAUAUCA